rnacentral:rRNA from 1 species
AUUGAACGCUGGCGGCAUGCCUUACACAUGCAAGUCGAACGGUAACAGGUCUUCGGAUGCUGACGAGUGGCGAACGGGUGAGUAAUACAUCGGAACGUGCCCGAGAGUGGGGGAUAACGAAGCGAAAGCUUUGCUAAUACCGCAUACGAUCUCAGGAUGAAAGCAGGGGACCGCAAGGCCUUGCGCUCACGGAGCGGCCGAUGGCAGAUUAGGUAGUUGGUGGGAUAAAAGCUUACCAAGCCGACGAUCUGUAGCUGGUCUGAGAGGACGACCAGCCAAACGGGGACUGAGACACGGCCCAGACUCCUACGGGAGGCAGCAGUGGGGAAUUUUGGGCAAUGGGCGCAAGCCUGAUCCAGCCAUGCCGCGUGCAGGAUGAAGGCCUUCGGGUUGUAAACUGCUUUUGUACGGAACGAAAAGACUCCUUCUAAUAAAGGGGGUCCAUGACGGUACCGUAAGAAUAAGCACCGGCUAACUACGUGCCAGCCGCCGCCGUAACAC